GCUGGGUGCUGUGGUGCACGCCUGUAAUCCCAGUGGCUCAGGGAGGCUGAGGCAGGAGGAUCGCUGAGUUCAAAACUAGCCUCAGCAAAACUGAGGCGCUUAGCAACCCAGUGAGACCCUGUCUCUA
rnacentral:sRNA from 1 species